rnacentral:rRNA from 1 species
GACGAACGCUGGCGGCGUGCCUAAUACAUGCAAGUAGAACGCUGAAGGAGGAGCUUGCUUCUCUGGAUGAGUUGCGAACGGGUGAGUAACGCGUAGGUAACCUGCCUGGUAGCGGGGGAUAACUAUUGGAAACGAUAGCUAAUACCGCAUAACAGUAGAUAUCGCAUGAUAGUUGCUUAAAAGGUGCAAAUGCACCACUACCAGAUGGACCUGCGUUGUAUUAGCUAGUUGGUGAGGUAACGGCUCACCAAGGCAACGAUACAUAGCCGACCUGAGAGGGUGAUCGGCCACACUGGGACUGAGACACGGCCCAGACUCCUACGGGAGGCAGCAGUAGGGAAUCUUCGGCAAUGGACGGAAGUCUGACCGAGCAACGCCGCGUGAGUGAAGAAGGUUUUCGGAUCGUAAAGCUCUGUUGUAAGAGAAGAACGAGUGUGAGAGUGGAAAGUUCACACUGUGACGGUAUCUUACCAGAAAGGGACGGCUAACUACGUGCCAGCAGCCGCGGUAAUACGUAGGUCCCGAGCGUUGUCCGGAUUUAUUGGGCGUAAAGCGAGCGCAGGCGGUUAGAUAAGUCUGAAGUUAAAGGCUGUGGCUUAACCAUAGUACGCUUUGGAAACUGUUUAACUUGAGUGCAAGAGGGGAGAGUGGAAUUCCAUGUGUAGCGGUGAAAUGCGUAGAUAUAUGGAGGAACACCGGUGGCGAAAGCGGCUCUCUGGCUUGUAACUGACGCUGAGGCUCGAAAGCGUGGGGAGCAAACAGG